GUAGCAUUUGCUCAGUCAGCUCUUGAAGCUUCUCAGCAGACCGAGAAGAAGAGCGAGGGUCAGAGGAGCAUUAACCGUUGGAGUUUGCGCUUUUGUUCUGCAUCUGCACUUGACAGUCACUGGUUCUGCACCACUGAGCUAAACAUGUGUAAAUGUAGAGCGUCUGCGUUCCUAUGAGCUGUCAGCCACACCGGGAAGCCUGUCUAUGAAUCUGCGGUCAGACUUCAAUGAUCCAACCCCACUCUCUGCACACAAGAUUGAUGGCAUGCUGCUGUUGACCCCCAAGAGGUUCAUACAAGUGAGACCACUGGAAUUACAUGAUGUCCACACAAGGCGUACCACUGUUCUCCAUGCCCUUCCUGUCUAUCUACGUGAGGAAACCUCUGGGUUUUUGAGGACAUGUGUGGAUGAUACCAAUGAGCCGGACCUCAGGGAUGCAGCAGUUGUCCUCCUGACAACCAUCACAGAUGAUGCAGAGAGUCCGGUUACGUACGACCCAGUGAGAAUCUGUUAUCCUAGAGGGUGAUGUGAUUGUCAACCUCUCCAGCCUUCCUGAUGCCUUCCUGGGCAUGCUCAGUUGAAGUUUCCAUCUCUGCGCGUUCAAGAUGUAAGAAAAAUAAUACGAAAGAAAUGCAACAAUGAAAACUUCAAAAAGGCAUCAACAACCAAGCAAGUGGAUCCAUAAAAUGGACUGAUUUUUUAAAGGCAUUUUUAAAAAGUCUUUCAAAAUGGACAGAAUUAACGCGUCAUGUUCAGAACAGUUUGCGUUCUCAUCUUUGAUUAAUCCUGGUAAACAGGUCUGUUUUUGUUCUGUUCUAAUUCUCUCUGUUUAAUAAAUUUAAACAAAAUGA